GAUGAACGCUAGCGGUGUGCUUAAAGCAUGCAAGUCGAACAUGAUCCCUUGGAUUCGUCUGAGGGUGAAAGUGGCGAACGGGUGAGUAACGCGUUGGUGAUCUGCCCCGGAGUGGGGAAUAACUAUUGGAAACGAUAGCUAAUACCCCAGAUGUCCUCGUGUUUGGAAAGCGAUGACUAAAGUUCAGGCGCUCCGGGAGGAGCCAGCGUCCCAUCAGCUAGUUGGUAAGGUAACGGCUUACCAAGGCACAGACGGGGUAGGGGCGGUGAGAGCGUGGCCCCCCACACUGGUACUGACACACGGACCAGAUACCUACGGGUAGCAGCAGCUAGGAAUAUUGGACAAUGGGCGAAAGCCUGAUCCAGCAACACCGCGUGGAGGACGAAGGCCUUCGGGUCGUAAACUCCUUUUUGGGGGGAUGAGAAAGGACAGUACCCCCAGAAUAAGGCCCGGCUAACUACGUGCCAGCAGCCGCGGUAAU
rnacentral:rRNA from 1 species